rnacentral:lncRNA from 1 species
GGAUUGGAUCAAGGAUGCGCUAAUGGACGACACGGAUGACAAGGAAAGUGACAUCGUACAUGUUCUGGGUGUCUUGAGGAGCUUGUCUUUGGAUGAUGCUGAGCAGGUCUUUCUUUCUGGUAACGAUUAUCAUUACAGUGAAGUAAAAGAAUUUAACAGACAGAUUGACAAACAACUGACGAAAGAAGAGAGACCAUUCUAUAGUCCCUUUAUUUAUCAGGGGUUGCCACAGCAGAAUGAACCGCCAACUUAUGCAGCAUAUGUUUUACACAGUGGAUACCCUUCCAGCCGCAACCCAGUACUGGGAAACACCCAUUUACAAUUAUAUACUUGAACAUGGGGAGAACAUGCAAACUCCACACAGAAAUGACCACUGGCCCAGCCGGGGCUUGAACCAGCAACCUUCUUGCUGUGAGGCGACGGUUUCAACCACUGUGCUGCCCCAUGUGCUCUAUGCGGAGGACUUCUAGAUGUAUCCAUAAUCCUGGACCAGACCGUAUCAUGAUCAGAUGCAGUGGUGGUCAUGGAGAAGUGGA